rnacentral:ncRNA from 1 species
UAUGUGGUGUCUGGCAGUGUUUCAGAUGGCGACAUAACCUAAAUUGAGGU